rnacentral:rRNA from 1 species
GUCCCAGUUCGGAUUGUAGUCUGCAACCCGACUACAUGAAGCUGGAAUCGCUAGUAAUCGCGGAUCAGAAUGCCGCGGUGAAUACGUUCCCGGGCCUUGUACACACCGCCCGUCACACCAUGGGAGUCGGAAAUGCCCGAAGUCUGUGACCCAACCAUUAAGGAGGGAGCAGCCGAAGGCAGGUCGGAUGACUGGGGUGAAGUCGUAACAAGGUACC